rfam:Aedes aegypti strain Liverpool supercont1.474 genomic scaffold, whole genome shotgun sequence.
UGCCCAGCAUAUCGUAUCCCUCCCUCCGCGCGGUAUUGGCCGGGGAACAUUGGACGUAUGCUGACAGGGUAG